rnacentral:misc_RNA from 1 species
UCAAACUUGGUCAUUUAGAGGAAGUAAAAGUCGUAACAAGGUUUCCGUUGGUGAACCAGCGGAAGGAUCAUUACUGAGACAACUGCCCUUCUGGGUAGACCUCACACCCUUGAAUACUUACUUUGUUGCUUUGGCAGGCCACUGGGCUCACGCUCGGUGCUGGCUUCGGCUAGCUAGUGCCUGCCAGAGGUUUUAAACUCUGAAAUGAUACUGUGUCAUAAAAUAAAGCAAAAUUUAUAAAAACUUUCAACAACGGAUCUCUUGGUUCUGGCAUCGAUGAAGAACGCAGC